rnacentral:rRNA from 1 species
GACGAACGCUGGCGGCGUGCCUAAUACAUGCAAGUAGAACGCUGAAGGAGGAGCUUGCUUCUCUGGAUGAGUUGCGAACGGGUGAGUAACGCGUAGGUAACCUGCCUGGUAGCGGGGGAUAACUAUUGGAAACGAUAGCUAAUACCGCAUAAUAGUAGAUGUUGCAUGACAUUUGCUUAAAAGGUGCAAUUGCAUCACUACCAGAUGGACCUGCGUUGUAUUAGCUAGUUGGUGGGGUAACGGCUCACCAAGGCGGCGAUACAUAGCCGACCUGAGAGGGGGGUCGGCCACCCUGGGACUGGGACACGGCCCAGACUCCUACGGGGGGCAGCAGUAGGGAAUCUUCGGCAAUGGACGGAAGUCUGACCGAGAAACGCCGCGGGAGUGAAGAAGGUUGUCGGAUCGUAAAGCUCUGUUGUAAGAGAAGAACGAGUGUGAGAGUGGAAAGUUCACACUGUGACGGUAUCUUACCAGAAAGGGACGGCUAACUACGUG